rnacentral:sRNA from 1 species
UCAAGGCGGGGGAGCCUUAAAGGAAUAAAACGCUCAGGAUGAGUGUUCAGGGGUGUCAGGAUGACACAGAAGGAUAAGCCAGGAUGGCGGGCGUCUGGAGACGCAUAACAGGGAAAUGGAACACAACAAGGAUUGUUGCAGCUAAGGGAAAGACAGGGUUUGUCGAUAGCGAAACAUGGAAUGUGUGGCCUGUAACGGGCGGUGAGUCAAUAAAAAAGGCGGCAAAUCAUUUGCCGCCUUUUUUAUUUGCUUGCUU